UACGUAGGGUGCGAGCGUUGUCCGGAAUUAUUGGGCGUAAAGAGCUCGUAGGCGGUCUGUCGCGUCGAUCGUGAAAACUUGGGGCUUAACCCUGAGCUUGCGGUCGAUACGGGCAUGACUGGAGUUCGGCAGGGGAGACUGGAAUUCCUGGUGUAGCGGUGAAAUGCGUAGAUAUCGAGAGGAACACCAGUGGCGAAGGCGAGUCUCUGGACGACUCCUGACACUGAGGCACGAAAGCUGGGGGAGCAAACAGG
rnacentral:rRNA from 1 species